GACGAACGCUGGCGGCGUGCUUAACACAUGCAAGUCGAACGGAAAGGCCCUGCUUUUGUGGGGUGCUCGAGUGGCGAACGGGUGAGUAACACGUAAGUAACCUGCCCUUGACUUUGGGAUAACUUCAGGAAACUGGGGCUAAUACCGGAUAGGAGCUCCUGCUGCAUGGUGGGGGUUGGAAAGUUUCGGCGGUUGGGGAUGGACUCGCGGCUUAUCAGCUUGUUGGUGGGGUAGUGGCUUACCAAGGCUUUGACGGGUAGCCGGCCUGAGAGGGUGACCGGCCACAUUGGGACUGAGAGACGGCCCAGACUCCUACGGGAGGCAGCAGUGGGGAAUAUUGCACAAUGGGCGGAAGCCUGAUGCAGCAACGCCGCGUGCGGGAUGACGGCCUUCGGGUUGUAAACCGCUUUCGCCUGUGACGAAGCGUGAGUGACGGUAAUGGGUAAAGAAGCACCGGCUAACUACGUG
rnacentral:rRNA from 1 species